UACGUAGGGGGCAAGCGUUGUCCGGAUUUAUUGGGCGUAAAGGGCUCGUAGGUGGCCAACUAAGUCAGACGUGAAAUCCCCAGGCUCAACCUGGGAACUGCAUUUGAAACUCCCUUUCUUGAGUACCGGAGAGGAAAGUGGAAUUCCUGGUGUAGAGGUGAAAUUCGUAGAUAUCAGGAGGAACACCAGUGGCGAAGGCGGCUUUCUGGACGGUAACUGACGCUGAGACGCGAAAGCGUGGGGAGCAAACAGG
rnacentral:rRNA from 1 species